rnacentral:rRNA from 1 species
ACGGGUGAGUAACGCGUGGGAACGUACCUUUUGGUUCGGAACAACACAGGGAAACUUGUGCUAAUACCGGAUAAGCCCUUACGGGGAAAGAUUUAUCGCCGAAAGAUCGGCCCGCGUCUGAUUAGCUAGUUGGUGAGGUAAUGGCUCACCAAGGCGACGAUCAGUAGCUGGUCUGAGAGGAUGAUCAGCCACAUUGGGACUGAGACACGGCCCAAACUCCUACGGGAGGCAGCAGUGGGGAAUAUUGGACAAUGGGCGCAAGCCUGAUCCAGCCAUGCCGCGUGAGUGAUGAAGGCCCUAGGGUUGUAAAGCUCUUUUGUGCGGGAAGAUAAUGACGGUACCGCAAGAAUAAGCCCCGGCUAACUUCGUGCCAGCAGCCGCGGUAAUACGAAGGGGGCUAGCGUUGCUCGGAAUCACUGGGCGUAAAGGGUGCGUAGGCGGGUCUUUAAGUCAGGGGUGAAAUCCUGGAGCUCAACUCCAGAACUGCCUUUGAUACUGAAGAUCUUGAGUUCGGGAGAGGUGAGUGGAACUGCGAGUGUAGAGGUGAAAUUCGUAGAUAUUCGCAAGAACACCAGUGGCGAAGGCGGCUCACUGGCCCGAUACUGACGCUGAGGCACGAAAGCGUGGGGAGCAAACAGGAU